rnacentral:tRNA from 1 species
GGUUCCACAGUGUAGUGGUUCACACGUCUGCUUUCCAUGCAGAAGGUCCUGAGUUCGAGCCCCAGUGGAGCCA